rnacentral:rRNA from 1 species
GACGAACGCUGGCGGCGUGCCUAAUACAUGCAAGUAGAACGCUGAAGGAGGAGCUUGCUUCUCCGGAUGAGUUGCGAACGGGUGAGUAACGCGUAGGUAACCUGCCUGGUAGCGGGGGAUAACUAUUGGAAACGAUAGCUAAUACCGCAUAACAGUAGAUAUUGCAUGAUAUCUGCUUGAAAGGUGCAAUUGCAUCACUACCAGAUGGACCUGCGUUGUAUUAGCUAGUUGGUGAGGUAACGGCUCACCAAGGCGACGAUACAUAGCCGACCUGAGAGGGUGAUCGGCCACACUGGGACUGAGACACGGCCCAGACUCCUACGGGAGGCAGCAGUAGGGAAUCUUCGGCAAUGGACGGAAGUCUGACCGAGCAACGCCGCGUGAGUGAAGAAGGGUUUCGGAUCGUAAAGCUCUGUUGUAAGAGAAGAACGAGUGUGAGAGUGGAAAGUUCACACUGUGACGGUAGCUUACCAGAAAGAGACGGCUAACUACGUG